rnacentral:rRNA from 1 species
UACGGAGGGUGCAAGCGUUAUCCGGAUUUACUGGGUUUAAAGGGUGCGUAGGCGGCGCGGUAAGUCGGGUGUGAAAUCUCGGAGCUUAACUCCGAAACUGCAUUCGAUACUGCCGUGCUUGAGGACUGGAGAGGAGACUGGAAUUUACGGUGUAGCGGUGAAAUGCGUAGAGAUGUGGAGGAACGCCAGUGGCGAAGGCGACUCUUUGGCCUGUAACUGACGCUGAGGCGCGAAAGCGUGGGGGAGCAAACAGG